CGCUUGCACCGGACGUGGACCCAGGCUACCAGUGGGCAAGAUGGAGAACUGAGCCCAGGCACGCACGGCUGGCCAGAAAAGGCUGACCAGCCUCUGGUUCCCGUACCGGUCAAGUGAUUGGAGUACCUUUCCAGUUUGGAAACAUCUGGGCAGGCCCAGAUCGAACAGGAUCCAGGGGGAAGUACCAAGCCUGUCCCAUCGGCCAUCCUGUGUGUCAUGUCCUGUAACCCAGUGGGUGCUCAG